UCCGUUCGAGGACGAUUUCAGCUCCGGAACGGCCGCGCGUUUCGGUGAUCUCUCGGUGAUGCCAGUGGCCUCUGCGGAAAACGAAGGUAUCAAAAUGUCACUUACCCGGUGACAGCGGUCUCUUGACGGGCGACGCUCUCGCGGCACGAUGGCUCACUGUUGACUGUGUCGCGGCAUCGUGGCCAGCCGCCGAUAUCUUGGCGCUCAUCCUCGCCACGAGGCCAGCCAGUUCGUUCCGGCGAUCUUGACUCACGUACCAGGAAGCUCAAUCCGGAGGACGUAGGAGCAUACUGACGCACGCAGUCACGAGGUGACCCUCUAUGCUUCCAGGUGACGACCGCGAUUGCUCACGCUGACCUGAAAGCACGUCCAAUACCCGUUAGAGAAGCGUGACACAGACAUGUGAUUUGUUAACGACACGUGACAGACGUUCACACUUUAUCAAUUGUGAACAACUGCCGAAAGAAAGGAAAGAGAAUAAAGGAGACAGAUGAAGAGCGUUGACUUCGAAGAGGAGCCUUGAAGAAGGAACAGGAACCUGGGGAGCCAAGGCGAUCCACAAUUUCUCGCUUGUUCGUCUUGACAAUUCGGUCCGAUUUAAAGCUGGGACAGGGAGAAAGGGAACGAAAUCGAUCCUAUCAGUUUGCAGCACUCCCUCUCGAUAGAAUGUCAGCAGAAAGUGUCUGUCGGUUUCCUACCAAGUUUACAUUUAUAUUAUUACAUGUAGAGUGUCUUGAUGAUAAAAUUCAUAAAUAAAUAAAAAUUUA